rfam:Dipodomys ordii contig_40501, whole genome shotgun sequence.
GGGAAGGUGGCUCAGUGGUAGAGUGCUUGCUUUACAUGCACAAGACCCUGGGUUCGAUUCCCCAGUGCCA